GUGCUUACUUUGGCAGCACAUAGACUAAAAAUCGGAAUUAUGCAGAGAAGGUUAGCCAGCCCCUGCACAAGGAUGACGGCCAAGUUUGUGAAGCAUUAACUGGAGCC